rnacentral:lncRNA from 1 species
UUUUGAGUGGAGCUCAGAUCUCCUCCCUGUGGGAAAUAAAAUAGCUAAGGGAGCUUUUCUUAAAGGUAGGUCUUGAAAACCUCGUAGUUCAACCUACAAGGAGGAAUUAAGAUGCAUUUUUAGUUAUUUUUAACUCAAUAUUAGCAUCAAGGAGUUAUUUUUGAUAAACAGAACAGGAAUUGUUCUUCUGUCAAAUGUAAUAAACAGAAGGUUUUGGAAAUACUGUAAAAUAAUAAUGCAAUAACUUGGAGUAUUUAAAAUGAAUUUACCUUCUUGCUUCCACAAUUUACGUCUUGAAACAAAACCUUUUGCAAUUAGAACGCUGUUGCAAUUCACAACACACAGAUGUAAAGUCCAGCACGUUUCAGAUAAAGAAAUGGAGCAACCCAUAACUGUUGCAUUCCCUUUUGCAGUGUUACUCACUGAUAUCGUGUUGAAUGUUACAGGAUACAGAGGCUUCCAGAGCUCAUCAGAAGACCUGCCAAGCAGCUGCAGGAGGAAUUCUGAUGGAGGAAACUUUCAAGCAGUGCAGCACAGUAUCCAGGAGGGAGACUCACCAACCCCAAAUCUGAUCAGCUCCCAAAUGCUGAGCUGGACAUUUACCAAGGCGGUAAAAUAUUGAUACUGCAGAGUUUACUGAGGAGUCCAUCUGGAAACAACAACAACAAAAAAAAAACAACCCGUGUGGAUUUGGCAAAUUUCCCAGUCACUGCUGAAGAUGUGUGUUUCCAAAGUGAAAAACGUCCUCAGUCAAUACAUGAUUUUCCCCAUCAGAUGGUGCUCAAGGACAGAUUUAGUGGGCAUCUCAUUCUCUGUAGAACUUUUCUUUGCGACAUUAAGGAAGAAUCUCCUCCACAAGCUGAAGCUUGAUGGGCACUUUAGGCAGAGCCAGAAGUGCUACUGAAUUUGUUUUCCUUUUUCAGGGAAGUAAAAGAACAAGGAAGAGACAAACCUCAAACAUGAGACUUAAAUGAAGGCAAGAGUUGAAUGAGGUGGGCUACCUGGGACAUAGCCUGUAUCACUUGCUCUUCUCUUUGCUACUGAAAAUUUGAAUGCCCAGGGAAGCAGCUUCUGGAGGUGACAAGCUCUGGACCAUCAGCUGCAGAAAAGAGCCUGAAAAGGGUGUGAUAAACAGCA